rnacentral:lncRNA from 1 species
UCAUCCGAUAUGUAACUGAAUUCUAUAACUCGAUUAGCUUGACUUUAGAAUGAACAAAGAGGGAAAUAAAAUAGUCCUACAGUGGACCAAGAAAAUAGAAUAGUGCUACAGUGAAGCCAAAGAGAAAACAAACUAUUACUGCGGCUUGAAAAAGGGCAGGUAUUUCAAUUUUCCAAUUUUUACUUAUAUGUUUUGUUGUAUUGUAAAGAUAAUACAUGAACUGAAGCAUAAUUCAAAAUAAAAUUAUAUCUCAGGACCAAUAUUCUCCCCACAGAACUGCAUUUUCAUAUUGUCUAUUAGAUAAAUGGCUUAUAAGGUUGAAGGAUCUAUUUAUAUGAAUUGAUCAUCAAAGGCUGACAAGAUUCAUUUCUUCAGUGGACUGGUACACUGUGCAUCUAAAGAUGUUGAGAUCAAAAAAUGUUUGUACAACAAUUCUUCUAAAAGUUUAGUCAUUCAUCAAUAAUUUAAGGUUAAAACACCCAUAUACAAGCAGCAACAACAACAACAACAAGCUCAGGCACGAUAACAACUUAACAACUCAGCCACAACUACUACACCUUCAAAGCAUGAAUCAAAGUAAUAGAUUUUGGGAAUAUCCAAUCUUCGUAUAGUAAAAGAGUAGGUAUACCACCACCUCACUCGCGAGUGCCUCCUAUUUCACCAUAUUCUCAGAUCCUUUUAAUCAGGCCAUGGAAUCAGCAAAUAGGUAUGCAGAAUUUUAGCAGUCCAGGGCAAUCACAUUUGCGAUCUUUAUAACAACCAGCUAUUCUUUUUUGAAGAAAUAGUUUGAUACACAAAACUGAUACAAUGUGAUUUAUAGUUGGAAACCAUCUAAUCAAUGUGUGUGGUUGCAUCCUUUGCUGUUUUUGCGAAACUCGACUUUCAUUCGUCAAGCAUUACAUUUCUAAUGUAAGGAUUCUCACACUCUUUUAUAGCCCAAUUUAGUGUAUAUUUUGAUGAUAUUGUUACUCAUGUCAUAAAGAGGAUAUGUAACAUUCAAUGCCUUAAUUUCACUUGAUUAAGAGCCGAACAACUUAUUAUAUUCCUUUUACUGUCUAGGCAGAGGACUUAGUGUAUGGAGGGUACUUUAAUGAAAUGGAUGUCUCGUGCAAUUUCAAAAAUUGGG